GUCUGAGAGUCCAUCAGCCGCGUUGACCAGAUCCAGUUGGCUAAUCCGGGAAGGUAAGCCACGAAAUCGCGACGUAGACCAACCUGGAGCUGAUUUCCAAAGAAAUUUUUCGUCGCAGGUGUCUCCAGUAAGAGUGAGUCAUAAACGCCACGCUGUCGAGACUUCGAUUUUAUGAGGUUGUUGCACGAGUACUCGAAAUCGUUUUCACCGUUGGUAUUUGGACGAAAGGUAAACAAUUUCAUCCUUUUCGUACUUGUCGUCGUGAUUUUUGUACGGUACGGUAUUUACCGAAGCGAUCGGUCAUUCAUCGUUCUCUUAAGAAGUUUUGCGAUUCGCAUUUAUAUGCAAAAAAAAAAAAAGAAACGACGAAAACACUGGAUAUAAAACGAGAGCGUUAAAAUUAAAUUCGGCAAUAAGAGAAUCUUGUUACUUUCGUUAUCACGUAUCCGAACGCCUAGCGUUUUGCCUAACAAGGAAGUUACAUAAAAAGUAAGGGGAUUCAGACCCGGGAAACUUUGUCUCCGGCAUUUUCGCAAUCUUCGGGAACAGUAUCGCGGCCUGGAAUUUUGCAAUUCAGUGCGCCGAAAGACGUUGCACAUUAGUCCGUGAUACCGCGAAUACGCAAUUUGCAUAUCACAAUAUGCAAACCAAAUUCGCGGCAUAUUCGAAGAGAACGAUACCGCGGUUCCUAGGCUCUCGAGCAGGCGUGGAUCCGUGGUGAAACUAACGGAUCUUCCGCAUUUGCCGCCGAGAACUCCUUGUUUGUUGAUCUCUCAACCCUUUGCACUCGAGAGGUGACUCCCAGUCAUCGCUAGAUUUUCUUUAGAUUCCUUAGAUUUUAAAGUUCUUUGGAAUCCAAAGUGCCGAUAAAAUGAUUGUCGUUGAGGCAAACGUGACCUGACUCUCAGAUUAGAGAUCUCAUUUUCGAAGUCAAUGUAAUCAUUCGUGGCAAUAGGAUGCUAAGAAAGCGUCUCGAGUUGCUGGUAGAUACCAGAAAAAAAGGCCUCGAGUGCAAAGGGUUAAUUUAACCACUAGUCCGAAGCAUGAAAGAAUUUCUGUUUCAAGAACAGCACCGGCCAUGCAUAAUCGUUGCCAUUAAUGCGUCGAUUGCUAGUCGACGUAAGACGCGUAUCUAAAGUUGAUUUAUGCCCUAAUAUUCGAUAACGCGUCGAAUUAUACGAGGAGCGUUCGAUUCGCGGGAUCGGUGACAUUCAGAUAGAGCCAUCGAUAAGAUUGAAAAGGAGGACGUUAACGCGAAACGAACAGGAUGGGGGAUCGUUGGCUAGGAGAACCGCUCUACCGUGAGCUGUCAAUCACUUUAAAGAGAUAUCAGUCAUGCGUACGGACGAAGAUUCGCUCAGACGUCAUCGGGGUCAAUUGCGAGCGAGUUCAACGAGUAGAAUCGAAUCAGCACGAUCCAAUAUGAGGGUCCGUUCAAUCUUCGUGCCCGCGGUCAUUCCCCAAUGGGAAGGAUGUUAAUUUCUCAUGUUCUUUCUACAUCGUCCGCGAUACUUUCCAUCUUCCAUUCCUCGGGUUAUCGAUCUCGAGUUGACGUUAUUGUUUCUCGUCGCAUAGAACUUGUUUCGUUAGCUCUGUUCCCAUAUGAUAUAUUAGUUUGAAAGAAAAAAAAAAAAAAAUACCGAUUCGUGGGUAACGGAGCACUUGUUUAUACAAAAGCGGAUACAAGUUGGUCCAGAGAGCUGGAUCAUAGCGGGAGUCAUCGUCAUUGUUAUCCCAGGCCCCAUAAUAAAACGAGGGACUCGAAGCGAGGCAAUUCUUCCGAAUAAAUUUCGGCUGCUCGACGUAGACUUGGAAAAAUACACCGGGGCUUGCGGGAGAAAGAAAAACCUCGCCGACAAAUCUUCCACUUCCGCGGCUUUUACUUCGAAAGAAGCCAUCGCGACAUUACCUACCGAACCUUCAGCCGUUCCCUUCUGAGUCGUAUGUAAAUGCUGCCAGGCUAAAACUGGAACAGCGAUACCAAUUCAGCAAAGUUUCCUCGUCCCUCCGUUGAAUUCGAG